rnacentral:rRNA from 1 species
AUUGAACGCUAGCGGGAUGCUUUACACAUGCAAGUCGAACGGCAGCGCGGACUUCGGUCUGGCGGCGAGUGGCGAACGGGUGAGUAAUGUAUCGGAACGUGCCCAGUAGCGGGGGAUAACUACGCGAAAGCGUAGCUAAUACCGCAUACGCCCUACGGGGGAAAGCAGGGGAUCGUAAGACCUUGCACUAUUGGAGCGGCCGAUAUCGGAUUAGCUAGUUGGUGAGGUAACGGCUCACCAAGGCGACGAUCCGUAGCUGGUUUGAGAGGACGACCAGCCACACUGGGACUGAGACACGGCCCAGACUCCUACGGGAGGCAGCAGUGGGGAAUUUUGGACAAUGGGGGCAACCCUGAUCCAGCCAUCCCGCGUGUGCGAUGAAGGCCUUCGGGUUGUAAAGCACUUUUGGCAGGAAAGAAACGUCGCGGGCUAAUACCCCGUGGAACUGACGAUACCUGCAGAAUAAGCACCGUCUAACUACGUG